GCAGAAGUGGCUGGAAACCCUGAAAAUGGUCCCUAAACAUAUACAUCCGCUCUAUGCCUGUCAGGUAUAUGUGCUCUAGAUUGUAUCUGUCCCUCUGUCAUACAGUUUUUUCCUUCUCCUCAGUCUUGUUCAUUUAGCAGAGGUAUAGAGGUUUAUUUGCAUGACUUAACCCUGUCCUCAUUUCUCUCCAUUUAUGGAAGCGUCUUACCUAAGGACUGAGUAAACAGCCAAGCACGGAUUGUGAGUCUGCUUCCACUAAGAUGCAAUUUUUCUUAUGGGUCUCUGUACAGGGAAAUCCUAUUGAGCGUACUUAAACCCCACUGACUUCAAACUUAGCACAUACUCAAAUGCUUUUUUGAACAGGAGCCAACUGGCUCUGUCAUGACAUCUAAUCGCUUACUAGUAUGAAUAAAUGGUUCACAAUCUGUCCUAAGUGUUCAGUGCUGCUUAUACAACUUUUUGUACUUCUUUCGGCAAGGCUUAGACAGCUUGCAAAAUCUUGCCUAUCUAGCUGUAACACUGUCCACAGGACUCUCUUCCUCACAGAAACCAAGGAAGUCUGCUUUAAAAAGACUUCGAAAGGUCUCCCCUGAAACAUGAUCAUUUUAUCUCCCACACAGCCCGUGAUGGUCAAGGAAAAUAGACACAAAUGAUCAACUAGAAAGCAACUCUAAAUCCUAGAAUGGAAGGAUACAGGGAGCAGCUGUUCAGAUGUUGUAUCCUGGAAAAUAUUGGACAGGCAGCAAGCAAGGCAAACUGAAACUCUUCAGCCUGAGGAUAUGGCAGAAACUGAACUAAUGGACUGUCAGAGUGUGUUGCAUUGAUGUUUUAAAAACAGCGUUAAAUGCAGGGUACCUCAGAAUCAAAUCAUACACUGCCAAGCUGUCAUAAAUAUUUUGCCAAUAUUAUUAUUGUUAUUAUUUUUAAUUGCUGUUUCCCACGUUUAGGAAUUGAUGAUAUAAGGAGGUCUCUUUUUCAAGCUUUGUCAUGAGAUCCAGUUGAAACUGCUUGGUAUGUUAAAGCUCAUACAAAGACUGAACUUCAAAUAAAUUUGAUAAAGAUAGAGUAAUGUGUGUUAAA
rnacentral:lncRNA from 1 species